UUUCCCCUACGGGGGGCAGCAGUGGGGAAUAUUGGGCAAUGGGCGUAAGCCUGACCCAGCAACGCCGCGUGAAGGAAGAAGGCUUUCGGGUUGUAAACUUCUUUUAAGAGGGAAGAGCAGAAGACGGUACCUCUUGAAUAAGCCACGGCUAACUACGUGCCAGCAGCCGCGGUAAUACGUAGGUGGCAAGCGUUGUCCGGAUUUACUGGGUGUAAAGGGCGUGUAGCCGGGCUAACAAGUCAGAUGUGAAAUUCCGGGGCUCAACCCCGGACCUGCAUUUGAAACUGUUGGUCUUGAGUAUCGGG
rnacentral:rRNA from 1 species